GUCUGACGUGCAGGAUAUUAUGAACGAGGGUAUGGCGUCGUCGAGGAGGAGGAGAAGGUGGUGGAGUAGUAACCGGGGGUGCCUCCAGAGGGCUGGCGGGGACCGGGGACCGGCGGUUGGGCGAAGGGGUGACGGUGGUGCGGCGGUACCCAGGCAAAACUACCCGCCUCGGCUCACUCUUCUGCCUCCAGAACCACCCACCAGCCCAUUCGUCUAGCUUAAACUAUAUUCCGACCUAACCUCCGCGCGUAGGGUACCUUCCUUCUCCGCCAACCCUACCUACCAUCUGACAGCCAGGCGAUACUUGCUCGAAGGCGAUGCGCCGCCGAUGCUUUUCGCACCCUUGUCGUUUCCUACAUUCCCUCCCUCUCCCCCAAGCCUCUCCCCUUCUCCGUUUUCUCUCGCUCGUCCUCUUUCCAUCACGCUUUCCGCUUCCUAUUCUCUAUUUUUACGCCAGGCUCAUCCGGAUGUCACGGGCGCGAGCGCGAGCUAAAAUCGGAACAGCGCAACGGAAGUGGGGAAGGUUACAGCUCGUGUUGACGUAUGUUUUGUAUUCAUUGUCCGUGUGUUAUUUUAGGUUAAAUGUCUGUUUUCCCGCGUCGAGGGUGUACCUGCAUCGUCGCCUCGCGCCUCGCUCCCUCAUGAAUCCGUUCUUUCGCGCCGCACUGUAACAUUCCUUCAAGGCUCGCCUCGGGAGUCUCAAAAUUAGAGAUAUCAGUUUGCAUAGAUGAAGAGGAAACGGUCAGAGAACCGUGUACAUUUGUGCUUUCAUUUUUAAUAAAAAUUAACUGAGAUUUUAGCUAAGAAAUAAUUGAGAAACUUGAGAAUAUUACAGAUUUUUAAUGCAUUACAAAUUGUAAACUAAAAUUGUCUUCCACGUUGAUGUAAAAAAUGAUGAAUGACAUUCUUGUUGUCUGUUAAGAUAAGAUGUAGGAAGUAAUUCUGUGUUUCGAUCUUUCGAAAUAGUCAAGCAUAUCUACAAAAUAAAUGUAUUAUCGAUAAAACUUUAGUAUAAUUCAUUGUCGACUGUGUUGGCAUUACACAGUCAAAUCUCCCGAAGAAAUAUCAAGAUAUCACAUUCUUUCUUCUUGCGAUACUUUCUUUUUAUUCGAACGGACAAAAUUAAGUUCGACAUUUCAUUUCUUCGCGUCUUCUAAGCGUUACGGUGGCGCGUAACUCGUCGAGGUUGCGGAAACUUUUUGGAUAGACGAUUCGUCGUCGCGCGAAGUGUCACACUGACGGCGGAAUAUAGCUGAAGCACGUGUACGAGUAUAUUGUGGAGGGAGGUAGGAUGGGGUAUGAGUGCAUGGUAUAUAUCUAUACAGUGUCUACAGGGGGUAGAAGUAUAAGCUUUCCUCUCGCAAAUGAGGUAAUAUAUAUACAAAAGCUAAUACGACCGAAAGUUGCCAACUUGGAUGAGUCUCUCCUCCGCAUCCCUCUACCCGCCGCUUCUCCUUCCCCGCGCGCGGACUACCUCCUCUAAAUAUUUUAAAGGAUCGUGACACUCGGGUCUAUGAGUUGCCGUCCUUGGGGAGGGACGCUUGAAACUCAAAAGGCCGUCGGAGUGAAGGACAAAAAUAUCGCGAACUGUGACAUUUGGACAGUUUCGUUUCGUAGAGUCCUUCAGAUAAACAAUUGCCGUCAGUAAGAAAAGAAAACCGGCUUUAUGCGGAUAAAUCGUGCAAGGCGCCACAAGCCAAUUGAAAUUACUGCGCCGAGAAACGCGGGAAGACAUAGUGGCUAGGUAAGUAAGAGUAACGGGGAGAAGUGUUUCGAGGAGAGAAAUCCACGUUCUCCAAAAUGGCGCUGAAUGGGCGCAAUAAAACCGAAGGCUGUAUUUUAUCGGAUACGUUAACAGCUUCGUAAAUCAGUGCCCGGACCGUUUCGGGUUUAAUGCGGCGCGUAUCGCCCGACAAUUUAAGACGAAGGCUUGCCGUGGUUGCGUCUUGGCCACGAAAAUCGAAAUCCGCGAAAGAAUAUUUUAAGUACCCUUUACUAAUUACGUUAUCGGUUUACUAUCUGUUUGCAAUGUAUUGUAAAAUUCGCUUAGAGCGCGCAUCGUCGACUUGUUACAUCGUUGUCAUCGUUGGCGCAAUUAUUAUUUAUGAUAUGAUGUAUAGCACGUUCGAGCGGCAAUUGUUAUCGCCCGCAUAAUUAUUGCCGCAAUAUAUUGGCGAGUAUUACGAGCAUUCAUUUUUUUUUUUACUAUUUCUUGCGAUUACGUAAAUAAAUUCGGCUAUAUACUUCUAAUCGCAUUCUUACAUUCCUCAUGUGAUGUAUGUUUUUCUAAAAGAAAUGAGUAAUAAUACGUAACUUUCCCGCGUACAAGAAUGCAGCGUAACUAUGCAGAUUGCAGCAAGAAGUCUCCCCGCAAGACAUAGAAUGCAUUAUUAACAACCGCAACGGCGAGAGUCGAUCGAUCCAUCUCGAUCGUCAAGCUUCGGAGUAUUCAGCGCGAAGCGGCUUUUGUCGCUGACGGGGACGAUUUCCUCGUCUCUCGCAUCCUAAGACUAAGACUAGAAACUACGGGAUCGUCUCGCCGGCAGAUUCUCCCCCAGCCGUGCUUCUUUCACAAUCAACUAGAUUGAGAGCUCGCGGACGAAGUUAGAUCAAACAAACGCGCGGGUGCAGCCGCGCGUAUCGCGAAUUGCGAAUUCGCGCGAGCCGGGGAGAACGAAAGUGGAGAGAUGCAGAGCAUAAUCUAGCCUGUUUGAGGAGAACUGCCGCCGACUGCAAGUUAGAACAAACUCUCAGCAACAUAUUCUCCAGGAACGUCGUCGUAGCCGGCAACCAAUUCGCCAACGUCGCGACCAAACCAUUCCCCUUACACCUCGUCCAUGUCUCUUCCUUUUAGACGUUCAGACGUAUCCUUUCGGACAUUGCGCAAUUAGAUAAAAUAAUAUCGUUCACCGUAAGCAUAAACGCACGUGGGUAGCCACAGGUGAGGGCAGCGAAUGGGUUUUUGCUCGUGAUGCGAGAUGUAUUCGCUUCCACCAAUUUUGCAUACUCGACUUGAAUAGAGAAGCGGGGCGUUGAACAUUUUAGAUCGCGCCCUGAAACUUUCGGAUUAUUUAUAUCUGGUUCAGUGACCAGUAAUGAAAUAUUCAUGCGAUGAAUCCCGUCCUAUUGUCUCUCUCUCUCUCUGUAAGUAUCUACGCAAUUUAUGCAACUCGAAGCUCGUACAGGACGCGGCGUAUCUCUACGAUGUAGAUCACACACUGUAAUAUUUUUCAUUUAAACGUAUAAAAGCGAGUUUGAUUUUGGAAAAAAACGGUGUGCAAUAUUCAGACAUAUUUCUAAAGCAAUUGUAAAAUAAUUUAUAUUGUUAAUUAAGCUUUAGCGUCUCUACGAUAUAGAUUUGUCAUUGAUAUGUAAUAUUUUUUGUAUAAAAGCGAGCUUGACUUUAAAAAUAGCGAUUUGCAGUACUUAAAUAUAUUUGUAACGCAUCUAUCAGACGUUUAAUGAAACAAAGACUUUGUACAUUGAAAAUAAUUUAUAUAAUUAAUCGAGUAUCUCGGUACAUGGCGUAUUCUGCCAACAUCGAGAUUGGCGAUCAAUCCAACGACUACCGGCAUUUUCCCUUCGCUCGCGUAUCGCUAGCAAUUAGAUAAAGCAAUAUCCUGUGAGAGUAAAUAGAAAUAGAAUUACUACAAUUAAUUUAAGCACACGAUGAGAGUCGAGUUUAGAGAAUCUACUUGAUAAUUUCAAAUUCUAAGACGAUUAAAAUUAUUAAUUCAAGUUAAACGUAUUUUGAACAGCAUUUGAAUUUUUUUAAAAUUGAGAUUUAAUUUAAUAAACUUGGAAUUAUGAUAUCGUCAUUUAUCAUUUUAUUUUGGUAGAACAUUUGAUAAAUAAUCGUUCAAUUGUAUAAAUUCUUUAUUUUUUGAUUCUCUGUUUCUAAUAAAUCUUUUUCAAACAAUAAAAUCGCUGAGUGAAUGAAUUUCUACGCUUCUAUAAACUCUUCUAUGCAAACUGAUAAUAUUCGCACAAUAAUUUAUACAAUUAGAAAAUUAAAUUAUUUUUUCCAAUUAGAUAGUACGAAAUUACAAUAUUUACUGUCGCUCUAAGUUAUUAGAGAUAGGUUUUUUCGUCGGUGACCGAAUCAGGAAGAUAGAGGCAGCGAAACUGAUGGCUCAUGAAUAUUCAUUUCUUGCCGGUUUCUUACAGGUCGACGGGGGUGAGCACAGAACGGUGCAGCCAGGGCUGUACUUUUAAGCAUGGGAGUGGGGGUUCUGGAUCAAUGCCGAGACCACGCCUCCUUCGUCUUACAUCUUGCACCCUGUGUCUCCCCCCCAAACACCGUGGGCACCUUCCUUUCCUUUUGCUUUUCCACCCUCUUCCCUAUCUUCAUACCUCGCGGAAAAUCCGCCCCGGACGUGCAAAUACGUAUAUUAAAAGCAAUAAAAACUAUACUAUAUGUAUAAUACACAAAACUUUAUUGAUAUUAAUUGUACAAUAUUAUGAAACAAUUGAGAAAAAUAUAUAUUACGAAAAUAUAUAACACAUGCACAGAGAUUUUUGGAUUGAGAUAGAAGAAAACAAUAUUGUAAUCAUUACAAUGUAUAGUGUGCGUAAAAAAAUAUAUUUUUGUAAAAACA